rnacentral:lncRNA from 1 species
UAGUAAUGGAUCACAAGUUUGAUUUGAUGGAACAAGAGGAGCUUGAAUAAUUCCUGUGUUGCUUGCUACGGUAGUAAGCUUGGGAGGCCUUGGGAGUUAUACGAUUGCAAUGUAUUGCACUGUAUCUUUCAUGCUUAGCCUGUAGUGAUUAUUCGUGAACAAGGAAAUCAUGCAUGAGUUGUUCUACCGCUGUGUUUGGAUCUAUCAACAUCUAGCACUGAAGACCAGAGGGAGAUGAGAAGACCUGGACCUGGUGGCUUGGCCAUAGAGCACCAAGUCCAAGGAUGAUUACUCCUAGCGGCCGCGGCAAUAAGAUAGAGCUACUACAUAUAGUAAUGAAUUAAUUAGCUAGUAGAAUUGGUUGGAUGACAUUCUACAGUUUCAUUCCUUAGUCUUGCCAUCAGCCUUGGGCAUAGUUGUAUUGUUGCCUGGAUCCAUCUCCACAGUUUCUUUUGUAAACCGAAGAACUUCAACUGAGGCAAACGCAAAGCAUCCAUCAUGA